rnacentral:sRNA from 1 species
CUAUAACACGAUUCGUGUGGGUGAGUAACGUGCGCUCAGGUUCGAGCCGAGCGAAGCGAGACAGCAACGCGUAGCGUUGACCCGAAGGGCGAGUCCAUAGGACGAGUCAUCCCGCACGACCCACCA